rnacentral:rRNA from 1 species
GACGUAGGGCGCGAGCGUUGUCCGGAUUUAUUGGGCGUAAAGAGCUCGUAGGCGGCUUGUCGCGUCGACUGUGAAAACCCGUGGCUCAACCAUGUGGUCUGCAGUCGAUACGGGCAGGCUAGAAUUCGGUAGGGGAGACUGGAAUUCCUGGUGUAGCGGUGAAAUGCGCAGAUAUCAGGAGGAACACCGGUGGCGAAGGCGGGUCUCUGGGCCGAUAUUGACGCUGAGACGCGAAAGCAUGGGGAGCAAACAGG